AGUGGCGGCGUGCUACCAUGCAAGUCGAGCGGUAACAGGUGUAGCAAUACAUGCUGACGAGCGGCGAACGGGUGAGUAAUGCUUCGGAAUCUACCUUAUGGUGGGGAAUAACUAGCCGAAAGGUUAGCUAAUACCGCAUACGUCCUACGGGAGAAAGCAGGGGAUCGCAAGACCUUGCGCCAAAAGAUGAGCCGAAGUCGGAUUAGCUAGUUGGUAGGGUAACGGCCUACCAAGGCGACGAUCCGUAGCUGGUCUGAGAGGACGACCAGCCACACUGGGACUGAGACACGGCCCAGACUCCUACGGGAGGCAGCAGUGGGGAAUAUUGGACAAUGGGGGAAACCCUGAUCCAGCGACGCCGCGUGUGUGAAGAAGGCCUGCGGGUUGUAAAGCACUUUUAGUGGGGAUGAAAUGUGCAGGGCUAACACCUCUGCAUUUUGACCUAACCCACAGAAAAAGCACCGGCUAACUCUGUGCCAGCAGCCGCGGUAAUACAGAGGGUGCAAGCGUUAAUCGGAAUUACUGGGCGUAAAGCGUGCGUAGACGGUUACAUAAGUCGGGUGUGAAAGCCCCGGGCUCAACCUGGGAAUUGCAUUCGAGACUGCGUAGCUAGGGUGCGGAAGAGGGAAGCGGAAUUUCCGGUGUAGCGGUGAAAUGCGUAGAUAUCGGAAGGAACACCAGUGGG
rnacentral:rRNA from 1 species